CAAUAUUCAACCUCAAGAACACCAAGGAAAACUUGGAGGCUAAGUCUUGGUCUAGGAAGUAUUUUCCCUAAGUUGGUUAGGGUUUUUUUGAAAGGUUUUGGAGGAGCCAAAGCUAAUAGGAAGGUCCAAACCUUAAGCAAGAACACCAAAGAGUAUUGGCUAAGCGUAACUGGACUGAACGUUGGAGGGUGAAAACUUGCUGAGCGCUAAGGACUCCAAGUAAG